rnacentral:rRNA from 1 species
CGUAAGGCUGGGCUGUGAUGGGGAGUGAAAAUUACAGUAGCGAAGGUCAUGAUCUCACACUGCCAAGAAAAGCCUCUAGCCAGGUGAAGGUGCCCGUACCGCAAACCGACACAGGUAGGCGAGAAGAGAAUUCUAAGGCGCGCGGAAGAACUCUCGUUAAGGAACUCGGCAAAAUGACCCCGUAACUUCGGGAGAAGGGGUGCCCCGGUAGUGUGAAUAGCACGAGGGGGCCGCAGUGAAAAGGCCCAAGCGACUGUUUAGCAAAAACACAGGUCUGUGCGAAGCCGUAAGGCGAAGUAUACGGGCUGACGCCUGCCCGGUGCUGGAAGGUUAAGGGGAGCGGUUAGGGAUUUAUCCCGAAGCUGUGAACCGAAGCCCCAGUAAACGGCGGCCGUAACUAUAACGGUCCUAAGGUAGCGAAAUUCCUUGUCAGGUAAAUUCUGACCCGCACGAAUGGCGUAACGACUUGGGCGCUGUCUCAACGAGAGAUCCGGUGAAAUUUUAAUACCUGUGAAGAUGCAGGUUACCCGCGACAAGACGGAAAGACCCCAUGGAGCUUUACUGCAGCUUGAUAUUGGAUUUGGGUACGAUCUGUACAGGAUAGGUGGGAGCCGUAGAAAUCGGAGCGCAAGCUUCGGUGGAGGCGCCGUUGGGAUACCACCCUGAUCGUAUCUAGGUUCUAACUUAGUACCGUGAUCCGGUGCGAGGACAGUGUCAGGCGGGCAGUUUGACUGGGGCGGUCGCCUCCUAAAGAGUAACGGAGGCGCCCCAAGGUUCCCUCAGAAUGGUUGGAAAUCAUUCGAAGAGUGCAAAGGCAUAAGGGAGCUUGACUGCGAGACCUACAAGUCGAGCAGGGACGAAAGUCGGGCUUAGUGAUCCGGUGGUACCGCAUGGAAGGGCCAUCGCUCAACGGAUAAAAGCUACCCUGGGGAUAACAGGCUUAUCUCCCCCAAGAGUCCACAUCGACGGGGAGGUUUGGCACCUCGAUGUCGGCUCAUCGCAUCCUGGGGCUGAAGUAGGUCCCAAGGGUUGGGCUGUUCGCCCAUUAAAGCGGUACGCGAGCUGGGUUCAGAACGUCGUGAGACAGUUCGGUCCCUAUCUGUCGUGGGCGUAGGAAAUUUGAGAGGAGCUGUCCUUAGUACGAGAGGACCGGGAUGGACGUACCGCUGGUGCACCAGUUGUUCCGCCAGGAGCAUGGCUGGGUAGCUACGUACGGAAGGGAUAAGCGCUGAAAGCAUCUAAGCGUGAAGCCCCCCUCAAGAUGAGAUUUCCCAUCCCGGAAGAUCUAAGG